rnacentral:rRNA from 1 species
AUGUGGCUCGGCGUGCAUAGGCGCUGCCUCACGGCAGACAACCUGCUGCGAAGAGGUUGGCCGUCCAACACUACAUGCCCUCUUUGCUUGGCGGAACCGGAGGACUGCACACAUCUCUUUCUGCACUGUAGAUAUACGCGGCACCUUUGGAGCAUCUUCAGGCAAUGGACGGGUGUGCACUUCUCCAUUCCAGAUGACUCUUGCAGUACCACAGAGGACUGGUGGCUGUCAUCAAGGAAGAGCAUCCCCAAGACGGACAAGCGUAAUUUCGACACCAUUGUUAUCCUCGUACAUUGGAGGAUCUAGAAGGAGCGGAAUGCAAGGAUCUUUCAGCACACGGCCGGCAGCGCCAACAGAGUCCUUGACCUGAUCCGUGAAAAUAUUGUUGUGUGAAGGGCAGCCAGGUGUGUUGUUGACCUCUCUACUUGA